AGUAGAUUGCAUUACCUUAUAGCCUAGGGUCCUGGAUGCAGUCACUAGGCCCUGAACUAGCCACAAGGGAGACGAGAAAUAUACUAUAAAAAGUUACUUGUCGAGGUUUUCCUUUAGAACACUAGGUAUUUAAGGUUUUCAUAAAGAAAAAUCUCCAAAGACUGCAUUGUUAAAUUUUGGAAGGAAUUACCACAGGAUGCUUGGAGAACUUCAUUGCUAUUCUUUCUGACACUGAGCAUUCAGUAUAAUGGAGGCCAAGGAACCUACCAACUCAAUAUGCUAUUUCAACACAUUCAGUCAGCCAGUGGACUUAACCUCAAGUUCAUUUCUGCACGGAUCAUUUACAGUGUUAAUCUGCGAGUUUGUAUGACUCCUACCAGGAAGAUACAAAAAAAGUUCCUAUUUUGCAGUUUGGAUCUCUUCUCCCAUAAAACUUCCUCAGUGGUGAAUAACUCAAGUUGUUGGGGCAGCAUAAUAGAGGGCCUGGCAGAGAAGUGGUGAGAACAAAGCCUGUUUGGGAUUGGACAGGUUGACCUCUCACCCAGACAGGCUCCCAGAAACCUUAUAUGGCCUUCCCUGCCCUGGAUACAGCCAGCCACAAACACUUCAGGCACACGGAUAGAAGAAGGCAGCCUAUGGAAUCAUGUCAUAAGGAAAGGAUUGCCAUUUCUCAUGGACUCUGGCUCCCUGGAGCUGAAGAGAUUGAGGAUGAGGAUGGAGACACCCGUGAUCUUGAGUUCAAAAUUAGGUCUCAUUUGAUGCUACUUGAUCUCCCUAGAGGUCUCAGCAGCCUUGGGGGCAAAAUUGAAAUCUAUGGAGAUUGCUAGAAGAUCUUCUCCCCAGAACUAAAUGAGAAUCUAAAUUUAUAGUAAUUCUUUAAGAGGAAAAAUAAACCCAAGG
rnacentral:lncRNA from 1 species